rnacentral:rRNA from 1 species
UACGUAGGAUGCAAGCGUUGUUCGGAAUUACUGGGCGUAAAGAGUACGUAGGCGGUUUGUUAAGUCUGAUAUUAAAGACUGGGGCUCAACCUCAGGGAUGUAUCGGAAACUGGCAGACUAGAGGACAGUAGAGGAAGUGGGAAUUCUCAGUGUAGCGGUGAAAUGCGUAGAUAUUGGGAAGAACACCAGUGGCGAAAGCGCACUUCUGGGCUGUUACUGACGCUGAGGUACGAAAGCGUGGGGAGCAAACGGGG